rnacentral:rRNA from 1 species
UACGUAGGGUGCGAGCGUUAAUCGGAAUUACUGGGCGUAAAGCGUGCGCAGGCGGCUUUGUAAGACGGAUGUGAAAUCCCUGGGCUUAACCUAGGAACUGCGUUCGUGACUGCAAAGCUAGAGUGCGGCAGAGGGGGGUGGAAUUCCUGGUGUAGCAGUGAAAUGCGUAGAGAUCAGGAGGAACGCCGAUGGCGAAGGCAGCCCCCUGGGUUGGCACUGACGCUCAUGCACGAAAGCUGGGGGAGCGAAAGGG